GAUGAACGCUGGCGGCGUGCCUAAUACAUGCAAGUCGAGCGAACAGAUGAGGAGCUUGCUCCUCUGACGUUAGCGGCGGAAGGGUGAGUAACACGUGGAUAACCUACCUAUAAGACUGGGAUAACUUCGGGAAACCGGAGCUAAUACCGGAUAAUAUCUUUAACCGCAUGGUUCAAUAGUGAAAGACGGUUUUGCUGUCACUUAUAGAUGGAUCCGGGCUGCAUUAGCUAGUUGGUAAGGUAACGGCGUACCAAGGCAACGAUGCGUAGCCGACCUGAGAGGGGGAUCGGCCACACUGGAACUGAGACACGGUCCAGACUCCUACGGGAGGCAGCAGUAGGGAAUCUUCCGCAAUGGGCGAAAGCGUGACAGAGCAACGCCGCGUGAGUGAUGAAGGUCUUCGGAUCGUAAAACGCUGUUAUUAGGGAAGAACAAAUGUGUAAGUAACUAUGCACGUCUUGACGGUACCUAAUCAGAAAGCCACGGCUAACUACGUG
rnacentral:rRNA from 1 species